GAAAUACAAUUUCACCUUGAUACGGAAGCUCACACGUCGAUAUUGUAGCUACCACUAGCUAAAGAACUACACCAUAUAAAUACUGUCAAUUCAGUCCACUAGAGAAACAGGUAUCUCGGAAACUCAAUGGAGUUGCAGUGUAUAGAUAAGUCGGUAUAAUAGGUUAAAUAUCAGGUAGAGGCAUCCAAGUAGGGUGAAUGCUUACCACUAUAUGUAUUGAUGUUGUUCUUUAUCACCAUCUAUUAUGUUUCCAAUGCUUUUUCGAACUCUUCUCUUUCCUCGAGGAAUUCUCUUCAUCUCUGAUAUGACUGCUAUGCCCGUUUUCCUUCACCUUCUUAGCAGGCUGUUUAUCCUUGGAAGAUUUCCUCUUCUUUCCUGAGGAUUCAGCACCACCAUUCUCUGCAAUACCAUUUCCUCGGGGGAGUGCUUCUUCGUUAUCAUUUAAUUGCCAGUUACAGUAGAUCUCUUGCUGGUCACCAUACUGUUGCAGUCCCUCCCCAGCGCCUGGGAGCAAGUUAGUAAAAGUCACUUCCCCAUUAGAUCCUCCUUUCCUUUCCACUAGUACUUCAUCGGGUCUAAUUAUUGUGCCAAGUAUACUCCUGUUGGGACCAAGGGCAAAUAUGGCUUUUGCAUUUGUCAAUGUCGUGAAAGCCAUUGAAAAAGCAGAUCUGACCUGAAAAUAAUUGAAGGAGCUCUUGCCUAUGUCAUUUUCUGGUGUCUGUGGAUCCUCAAUGGAGAUGAGAGAUUGCUUUCCUUUAAUUGAGAACCCUUUGCAACUCUUCAGGAAGAAGGUAGCUUCUCCAUUACAAGAUACACCAACAUCUGAUGUAUUUAGUUUGCGUCCAUAAAUAUCAAAGAAAUUAACCAAAAGAAUUCCCAGAUUCUCCUCCACAGAAGCUUGGCCAUUUCGAUGGUUCUGCAACAUUGCUAUGAGCAUUACAAGCAGAGCAUAGGAUCCAAUCCCACCAGUAUAAACCUCAUUUAGCUCUCUCUGUUGCAAGAACACUUUCAAAAUCAAGCAUAAUGGUCGCAGAGGGGGCCAGCUAGACAUAGCAUCCUUAAUAAAAUCAGCAGCUUUGGGUCCAUUUUCCACAUCAAAG
rnacentral:misc_RNA from 1 species